CUAGUACUCCCUCCGUCCGGAAAUACUUGUCAUCAAAAUGAAUGAAAAUGGAUGUAUCUAGAACUAAAAUACAUCUAGAUACAUCCAUUUCAAUGACAAGUAUUUCCGGACGGAGGGAGUACUAA
rnacentral:pre_miRNA from 1 species